rnacentral:rRNA from 1 species
UACGUAGGUGGCAAGCGUUAUCCGGAUUUAUUGGGUGUAAAGGGCGUGUAGGCGGGAGCGCAAGUCAGAUGUGAAAACUCAGGGCUCAACCCUGAGCCUGCAUUUGAAACUGUGUUUCUUGAGUGCUGGAGAGGCAAUCGGGAUUCCGUGUGUAGCGGUGAAAUGCGUAGAUAUACGGAGGAACACCAGUGGCGAAGGCGGAUUGCUGGACAGUAACUGACGCUGAGGCGCGAAAGCGUGGGGAGCAAACAGG